CUUGUCCAAGAAAUAAUUCUCCCUCCCCCUUAAGCUAAUACUUUGAUAAGCUCAGUACAGUGAUCCUGAUUUGGAGCGUGACCUUUGAAAAUGCUCUCCAGCUUGAUUAAAGAUGUAUUAAAUUUGUUUAAAUAAACCUCGUUGUAAUGGCACAUCAUUUGUAAGAAGCUAUUAGGGGGCUGGAAACUGUGCUGCUGUAUUUGCAUGAAAAUGUGCCCUGCUCGAAUUGAGGAUCUCUCCUGAAUUAACUGCAAAGGGAAAGUGACACUUUCAUAAUUUUUUCUGACAAAAAAAAAAAAAAGAAGAAGAAGAAGAAGAAAGAAAGAAAGGAGAAAAGGAAGUAAGGAAAGGAGGAAAGGAAGAAUGACUUGAUGCAAAGCUCUGCAAAUGAAGGGAGAACUGGGUGGGAACAACAGAGCCAAGCUCAGUCUGAUGGGCACCCUUGAUGUUCUCAGGGUGUUCGGUUAAAGGCGAUCAAUAAUAUUUAUCUGCCAAUUACUUUGCUUCCAGAAUGGCUUCAUCUUUGAGUCUGUGUGUGUGAGCACACGGAUUGCUUGAGAGUAACCAGAUCCAUAAGGAUGUUCAAAAGAAAGCUUGUAUUGUCCUAUGUCUUGAAGUUCCACGACUGGAGCCCCCUCCCUGGCUUCAAUUUUGGUGCGGUCUCUGCAAAGGUAAUGCUCCCUGGGUUUGUGGAGAAGCUUAAGCACCCGAAUGCCCCCACCCACCACUCCCAAAUGAAGUAUAUAGUUGCCAGAUGUACCGUAAUUCCUGCCAAUGGCUCCUAAAUGAGCUGCCACUCAUAAAAGAAGGGAAAAAAAAAAAAAAAGGUCUCUCCUUUAAAUCAAAUAUUAAAUUAAAACCUUUCCCACUGUCUUGUAGGAGUCCUGGUUCCAGGCCAUCUGCCAAUUUGCAGGAGCUCCAGCCUCUUCUGAGUUACCGUUUUCUGAUCAAAUCAGAGUCAUAGCAACCUGGGUUCUGUGAUGAGACUGUCACCUCUGAGCCAUGCUGAGUAAGAGGAGACUUUCAGAAUACGGACACGAAGGUACAAUGGGCCAUCUGCACGCUUUCACCAGUGCUAGUGCAAAGACUCUUUGGCAGGAGAAAGUCAAGGAAAGAGAGAGAGAGAAAAAAAAAAAAAAAACUUAGAAACUACAGAUGUUUAACCUUUCAAAUUUUUGUCAUAGGCGACUCCGAAGCAGAUCUAUGAAACCACCAUAUUCCCCAUGACCCUGGAGUGAGCCAGGAUAAAGUUGGGCUCAAUAUUUCUUGUUAUCAUUCCAAUAAUACUAUCUUGGGAA
rnacentral:lncRNA from 12 species